AACACCACCCAUUACCGUUGAGUCGAUUCCGACUCAUAGGGACCCUAUAGGACAGAGCAGAAGUGCCCCAUAGGGUUUCCAAGGAGCGCCUGGGAGAUAAGCUGCUGACCUUUGGGCUGGCAGCCGUAGCUCUUAACCAGUACACCACCAGGGCUGGUUCAAGUCCCAGGCCCAGCCCCGUUAGGCAGAUUAAUCCCGGGUCCAGAUGGAAGGUAUAAUUCCUCCCUCACAUAUGGCAGCUGAGAGGUUCAAGCGAGGUGAACCAAGCCAAAGUGCCUAACGAGCAUUUGUAGAACCCUUUCUGGUUUACAAUAUUUCCUUCAUCAAAUUGAUUUAUUUGUAAAAUCAUAAGACCCUACAAAUACUGGUUAUGGGAUUACCACCAGCACCGUGGCAGUUCUGAAAAGCGUGGCCCCGGCUCCUCUCCAGGGUGGGGUUGCCCAGAGAGGCGCUGACGCUUCACCUAAGCAGGGCCGCGGCCCAGAGGACGACACAGACGAGGCCUUAAACGCCAUCCUGGGGGAAGGAGCUGCGGACCGAGCUGAGCAACCCCGUGCAGUCGCGCUCGGGCUCGGGCUCCUCCCGCAGCCUCCCCCCGGAAGAGGAGGUGGCGUUGCCGGGCCAACGGGCAGCCUCGGGAGGCCCGGAACCCUCCUAACGCGGCCGCGUUUCCGGACGGACACACCCGGUUGGACCGACCCCCCUCUGCUCCCGGAGGGAACAUAUAAAGGGCCCCACGCGAGCCCUACUGGCGGUGGAGAGGUUGGUGGAGUCCAGAUUCGGAGCCACGGAAUCCCAAAACACGCGACUUGGAACAUUUUUAACCACGUCUGCUGAUGAAAUGUAUAUCGUGGGAUUUGUGAGAAUUCAAAGACGACUCCUAAAUCGUUGCUGCCCUUACAGAGUUUACAAGGAUGCCGUUAUUACCCAGCUGUGUCUCUAAUAAAGACCCCCACCGAGGUUUUCUCUUUGCUUUUGUGUGUUCUGUUGUGUGCGUGUGUUUUGUUUUGGUUGUUGGUGGUUUUUCUUUGGUUUUGUUUCCUGGUUAUCUCCAAAGAGCCAGAAAAAGAAAAUAAAAGUUAAAAACAAGGGAUAGAGGAGGAAGGCCACCGGAAAAAUGGAACCAUAAAAGGACUGUGUUAAUUUAACAGCAUUUGCUGAGUGCUUUCUGUAGGUAAAAGCACUAUUCUAAGGAGGGAAAUAGAAAAUAACUAUUAUGAAAAGAUACAGCCUCCACCUUCGUUAGUUUUCAACAUGCUUUGUUGUUUCAGGGAUACAAACUAAAUAGAUGAAGCAAAAUGAAAGAAAAAAACAAAUCAAAUAACAACCUUAAAUAAUAAGCUUUCAACUAGAAAAGUGCCUGAUAAGCCAGCAGUAUUUGCUUAAGCUUAAAAAGAUUAUGUGUACUUAACAUAUCAUAGACGCUAAAUACCCUUUCAUGAGAUGAGGUUGUAAUCUCAAUUUUUAUUUACAAAUUAUGGUAACUGGAAACAGGGCAGAUUGAGUAAUAGAGAUGAAAAAGUAAGAUAUAUCUAUAGAGGAAAGAUAAAUAUUUGUAUGAAGGGAUGUUCAAACACGGUAGUCUCUUCACUGUGAAGACAGAACCAAGCCUUGAAGGCAGUAAAUGCUACACUAUGUACCUUAUGAACUUGAGCUCUUAUUAAGCAAACUCAGGAGUAAAACUUUCAAUUGUCCCUGAGAUUUGAAAUGUUUUACAGUAUCAGGUUUAAGAAAAAGCUAAUGUUUACUGAAUUUUUUUUUCUUUUGGUAGAUGUUAUGUCAUUGGAAAACUUAGGGUAUGUGUCUAUCAGUUUCAUUUUUCCCCCAUGAUGUAUUCAAGAGAAUGGCAUGAUUUUUGCUUCUAUGAGUCGGAAUCGACUCGACGGCACUGGGUUCUGUAUAAAACCCACUGUGUUAAAAUCAUCUUUCCCCUCAUACAAUAUUUACAACAUUAUCAAUGAUUUACUGAUCUUACUUUUCAGUUAUAUACAGUAUUUGCUACCAAAUGAUGUCACAAAGUUUUGAAUGUUUGAAGAUAAUGAAAUUGAGAAGUAGAAAUUAAAGUGCUUUUUUGGUCUAUUUCAAGUGUAAAAUAACGUGCAAUAAUUAAAAGGCAUUUGGGUGUGGAAUUAUAAGUUAUAUAACUACUAAACUACACAGAUAAUUCAUAAAUAUUAACUUUGAAGGAAAAUACUAGGAGAUACUUUGUUUUUUUUAUGUAGAAAGAAAACAGAUAUAUAUUAAGUUCUGCUUUAGUACAAGCUUUCAAAAGGUAGUCUGAGCUAUUUUGUGAGUUCGUUUUAAUUUUUGCCCUCCACGACCUGUUCCAAAAGCUUCUCAAAUACACUUUAAUCCUGAAUCCUGUAGACUUUUUCCUCUUGUUGCUAAGGUCCUCAUCACAGGUCAUUUUGCCAAUAUUGCUUUAAAAUAAAAUAAUAAAGGGAGAGAGUAUGUGGCAUUUCUAGAGUAAGAUCUAAAUCUGUAGCAUUAAACCAAAUCUAUGUUUCUCCUGGGAAAAAACAUAAUUGUGCGAAGAUAAGAAUAAAAUACCCUAAAAACAAAACAGAUCAUUCUUUUCAGAGUAAAACUACUGACACGUCCUAAGCUUAAGAAAUAAAAUUCUGUCAGCAACUAUUAAGCGUACCGCGGUUGUCACCUGGAGCACACGAGUUUCUGUUUUUGUUUUUAAAGCAUUUGCGAGCAGACGCUAUUACGAUAAGGCUUUCUCAGGAAAGAGGAAAAUAGGACGAGCUUGCCAAUAGCGGCCAGUCUAAUCAGGAUUUGCAGAAAUCACAAGUCGGAAUUUGCAGACCCGAGAAUUCUUUUUCCAGAGUAAACACUCUUUACUCGAAAACAAAAGUCGUCACCCACACAGUCCUUCCCUGCGCCCCCUCUCGCCCAAGUUACCCGGCAAACUUCACGUUUACAUAUUCCGAGAGACGCAAAUACGCCUAAAACAGUCGGAACCCUGGUCCAGGAGCAAGCUGCAACAAUCAU